UAACAAGCUGUCCAUUUCUAUUUUUUUUACAUCCUGACUUUUCGAUUGCCUUUGAUCCUUUCGCGUUUCUUUUUUUUUUUCCAAGUCCCAUAAAUCUAGACUACGAAUCAAACAUCAUUCAACCCUUUCUUUUUUACACACUCUCAACCAAGAAUCAAAAUGUAUUAGUAUAUAUACAACCUCUCGGCACCCUCACAGACCCUUACUCCACCUUUGUGUAACCUGUAACGAGAUAGACGGAACCGGAGCACUCACCGGAGUAUAUAACGGAACUCGUCCCACUUGGGUCGGCGGUGGUGGUUCGCGACUCGGGAUCGGAGUUGUUACGACGGAGACAACCGAAGCUCACCGGAGCCGCCCGUAAUCCUCGACUGAGUUUCGCUCCUUUCAUUUGGGAUAAACCAUUCGUUCGGAUUUAUCCAAUCUUUACUCAUGCGUUAAUUCAAGAAAUUCUCAAACGCAACCAAGGUUAAUUGUUGAAGUAUGGACCAAAGAUGAAACGAGAUUUAGGGUGGACUAGAUACACACCUAGAUUAAUCUAUCUUUUGUUGUUAUGUUAAAAUUUGAAACAAUGUUGCUAUUUUUAUCUGAAUCUUGUAUGACAAUUAGUAUUGCAAUGAAAUUUGAAUUUAAUUAAA